AGUGAACGCUGGCGGUAGGCCUAACACAUGCAAGUCGAACGGCAGCACAGUAAGAGCUUGCUCUUACGGGUGGCGAGUGGCGGACGGGUGAGGAAUACAUCGGAAUCUACUUUUUCGUGGGGGAUAACGUAGGGAAACUUACGCUAAUACCGCAUACGACCUACGGGUGAAAGCAGGGGAUCUUCGGACCUUGCGCGAUUGAAUGAGCCGAUGUCGGACUAGCUAGUUGGCGGGGUAAAGGCCCACCAAGGCGACGAUCCGUAGCUGGUCUGAGAGGAUGAUCAGCCACACUGGAACUGAGACACGGUCCAGACUCCUACGGGAGGCAGCAGAGGGGAAUAUUGGACAAUGGGCGCAAGCCUGAUCCAGCCAUACCGCGUGGGUGAAGAAGGCCUUCGGGUUGUAAAGCCCUUUUGUUGGGAAAGAAAAGCAGCAGGUUAAUACCCCGCUGUUCUGACGGUACCCAAAGAAUAAGCACCGGCUAACUUCGUG
rnacentral:rRNA from 1 species